GCAGUCGUGGCCGAGUGGUUAAGGCGAUGAACUAGAAAUCCAUUGGGGUCUCCCGGCACAGGUUCGAAUCCUGUCGACUGCG
rnacentral:tRNA from 1 species